CCUACGGGUGGCAGCAGUAGGGAAUCUUCGGCAAUGGACGAAAGUCUGACCGAGCAACGCCGCGUGAGUGAAGAAGGUUUUCGGGUCGUAAAACUCUGUUGGUAGAGAAGAACGUUGGUUGGAGAGUAAAGAUCAUCAAGUCACUGUAACUAUCCCGAAAGGGACGGCUAACUACGUGACAGCAGCCGCGAGAAUACGUAGGUCCCGCGCGUUGCGGGGAUUUAUUGGGCGAAAAGCGAGGGAGGGUGGUUUAUUAGGGCGAGUGUAAAAGGCAGUGGCUAAACCAUUGUAUGCAUUAGAAACUGGUAAGCUUGAGUGCAGGAGAGGAGGGUGGAAUUCCAUGUGUAGCGGUGAAAUGCGUAGAUAUAUGGAGGAACACCGGUGGCGAAAGCGGCUCUCUGGCCUGUAACUGACACUGAGGCUCGAAAGCGUGGGGAGCAAACAGGAUUAGAUACCCUUGUAGUC
rnacentral:rRNA from 1 species